GACGAACGCUGGCGGCGUGCUUAACACAUGCAAGUCGAACGAGUGGCGGACGGGUGAGUAAUGUCUGGGAAACUGCCUGAUGGAGGGGGAUAACUACUGGAAACGGUAGCUAAUACCGCAUACCAUCAGAUGUGCCCAAUGGGGCUUAGCUUGUUGGUGGGGGAACGGCUAACCAAGGCGACGAUCCCUAGCUGGUCUGAGAGGAUGACCAGCCACUCUGGAACUGAGACACGGGCCAGACUCCUACGGGAGGCAGCAGUGGGGAAUAUUGCACAAUGGGCGCAAGCCUGAUGCAGCCAUGCCGCGUGUAGGAAGAAGGCCUGCGGGUUGUAAAGUACUUUCAGCGGGGAGGCGUUACCCGCAGAAGAAGCACCGGCUAACUCCGUGCCAGCAGCCGCGGUAAUAC
rnacentral:rRNA from 1 species